rnacentral:rRNA from 1 species
AUCCUACGGGAGGCAGCAGUAGGGAAUCUUUCACAAUGGGCGAAAGCCUGAUGGAGCAACGCCGCGUGCAGGAUGAAGGCCUUCGGGUUGUAAACUGCUUUUAUAAGCGAGAAAUAUGAUGGUAACUUAUGAAUAAGGAUCGGCUAACUACGUGCCAGCAGCCGCGGUAAUACGUAGGGAGCAAGCGUUAUCCGGAAUUAUUGGGUGUAAAGGGUGCGUAGACGGGAUGUCAAGUUAGUUGUGAAAUACCUCGGCUCAACUGAGGAACUGCAACUAAAACUAACAUUCUUGAGUGCAGGAGAGGA